ACAUUUCUUACUAAUGUGAAAAGUCUGUUGCAUCGGAAGGACAAUUAAGUGAUCGACGUUAAUGCAAAUUAGAACUAUUAUAUUCAUAAAUUUUUUUGUUUAGCGGGCAAACACCAUAUCGUAGGACAACAGAUCUUUAACCAAACUCUCGACUGAUUUUGUGGUUUUUUUGCUAUAGCGGGCGAACGCCAAGCCGAAGGACAACCGUUCUUUCAACAAAUUGUAGCGGGCGAACGCCAUGCCGGAGGACAAACGUUCUUUCACCAAAUUCGGGCGAACGCCAUGCCGGAGGACAACCGUUCUUUCACCAAAUUGUAGCGGGCGAACGCCAUGCCGGAGGACAACCGUUCUUUCACCAAAUUCGGGCGAACGCCAUGCCGGAGGACAACCGU